rnacentral:lncRNA from 1 species
UUUUUAGGAGAUGUUAAGUAGAUGAAAGACCAAGAAAAGCGAGGGAGAAAAUUCAAUAUAUUUGAGAACAAAGGCAGCCAUUAACCUGUCCAUCUUCAGAACCUGAAUCGGUAGCCAAAUCUCAGCAGACAGAGCUACGUAAUGCCAGAUAAAUCUUCUUGCUGAAUGAGAGACCCAUCCUACCAGCAUAAACAACAUUUGAACACUCUAGCCCCCAGCCUUACCAGCCAGCUCUCCAUUCUCUACACACAGAGUCUUUGUUGGGACACUCCAGGCCAGUUAUUUCACCAUCCUGAGUCUGGUCCCUCUCUGAGGCCCAGGGACAUAUAUUCAGUUCAGGUUUGAAUUAAGGAAAGAUACUACUACCUUGAUGGGGGAUCAGGACCACAGGACCAAAUUGAACCAGGCAAGACUGAAGGGGCCAAGGGAUAGAGGAUCCCCCUCCCGAAGGAGCCAACUGGAAGGCAACAAUUGGAUGGCCUGUUAAAGAAGAAAGAAGCUUAGGACAGGGAGAAUGCCACUUUCCAGUAUUACAAAAAUAUCCUUUAGGCAAGGGAGGUGGAAGGGGAGAAAAAGAAACAAAAAACUACCUUUUGGGCAAAAG